AUGAAGUUAACUUCCAAUGGACGGGACAAAUUCAGAAGGCAGUGGUGUUGCAUCUUUUAUAUGCAUGGUUGUCCUGAAGUCAUUCUGGAACAGGGGUUGUGUUCAGGUGCGUGACAACUGACAACAUUGAGAAGACCCAGGAGCGGGAGAAGGGCAGCCUGAUGAAAGAAGGCGACAGUGUUCUGUGGUCACACCUGAGAUGAUGGUCCUGAAGAGGAACGAGAGGAGAUA